GACGAACGCUGGCGGCGUGCCUAAUACAUGCAAGUCGAACGCUUCUUUCCUCCCGAGUGCUUGCACUCAAUUGGAAAGAGGAGUGGCGGACGGGUGAGUAACACGUGUGUAACCUACCCAUCAGAGGGGGAUAACACUUGGAAAAAGGUGCUAAUACCGCAUAACAGUUUAUGCCGCAUGGCAUAAGAGUGAAAGGCGCUUUCGGGUGUCGCUGAUGGAUGGACCCGCGGUGCAUUAGCUAGUUGGUGAGGUAACGGCUCACCAAGGCCACGAUGCAUAGCCGACCUGAGAGGGUGAUCGGCCACACUGGGACUGAGACACGGCCCAGACUCCUACGGGAGGCAGCAGUAGGGAAUCUUCGGCAAUGGACGAAAGUCUGACCGAGCAACGCCGCGUGAGUGAAGAAGGUUUUCGGAUCGUAAAACUCUGUUGUUAGAGAAGAACAAGGACGUUAGUAACUGAACGUCCCCUGACGGUAUCUAACCAGAAAGCCACGGCUAACUACGUG
rnacentral:rRNA from 1 species